rnacentral:rRNA from 1 species
CGACGAAUCUUCCGCAAUGGGCGAAAGCCUGACGGAGCGAUGCCGCGUGUGGGAUGAAGCGGCUUUGCCGUGUAAACCACUGUCAGGAGACAGGAAUACUGACCGUCUCCAGAGGAAGGGGCGACUAACUCUGUGCCAGCAGUCGCGGUAAUACAGAGGCCCCGAGCGUUAGUCGGAAUCACUGGGCUUAAAGGGUGCGUAGGCGGCUGGAUAAGUGUCGUGUGAAAUCCCACUGCUCAACAGUGGAACUGCACGGCAAACUGUCUGGCUAGAAGUAUGUAGAGGUCGCUAGAACGAUUGGUGGAGCGGUGGAAUGCGUAGAUAUCAAUCGGAAUGCCAAAGGUGAAGACAGGCGACUGGGCAUUACUUGACGCUGAGGCACGAAAGCGUGGGGAGCAAA